AUGACUUUCCAGGAGAAAUGGACCAUGCAAGGUCAACCUUUGAUACGUAUCUCCAACAAUGAAAGCAUCACUAUUGGCUGCUUGGCCCAGGAUUUCCUGCCUGGCUCACUCACUUUCUCUUGGGAUAAUGAUGAAGACGAGGCAAUCGAGUUUACGGAAUUUCCUUCUUUCUUCAACUCCCGUGGGACUUUCACUGCAAGCUCCAAGGCAAUUGUCCCUGCCGCAGCUUGGAAGCAUUUUAAUCCAUUCUACUGCAAGGCUGCUCACUCUCUUGGAAACAGAACAGAAGAAAUUGUCCGUCCGAUAGUGCGCCCAGACUCUCCGCCUAACAUUAUCAUCAGCUCACCACUCCUAAAGGAUUUUGCGGGGUCCCCCUUGAAUGCCACCAUCACCUGCACUGCUAUAAAUCUGCACACUCAGAAGACCACAAUCCAGUGGCUGAGGGAUGGAAAAGUUAUUGAAUCUGAUGAGCCCACCACCAUACGGAUCUCAAAGUGCAGCUACAGUGUGAGGAGUGAGCUAACAAUCACCAAGAACGACUGGGACAAUGGCAAGAAGUUCUCCUGCAAAGUGUCCAACGAGAGAUUCAGUGGGAUAAAGAACAUCAGCAGACCCCUUAUUUGUGGCGGUCUUUCCAUCCCUGUCACGGUUGAGACCAUCCAACCUUCCUAUGCUGAUAUUUACCAGACCAAGUCAGCCAAGCUGACCUGCAGAAUUUCCAACAUACCCGAUGAGCAAGACCUGAAGGAGCUGAACGUCACCUGGACAAGAGCAUCCGAUGACAAACCCCUGGACACUGCACUGGAAACGUAUCACGAUGAAGAAAACAGCGAUCUGAUAUAUGCAGAUGCAGUAGCUACUGUGUGUGUAGACGAGUGGGAAAAAGGAGAAACUUUCAACUGCAAAAUUAUUCACCCAGAUUUAUUUCCUUCAAUGGAAGUCAGGUCCCUGAGCAAGCCUCAAGAUGGCAACCCCUCUGCUCCACAUAUCUACAUCCUUCCUCCUCCUUCGGAUCAGCUGGCUCUGCAGGAAACAGCCACCGUCACUUGUUUGAUGAAAGAUUUCUCCCCUCCUGAGUUCUUUGUCAAAUGGCUGCGGAAUGAUGAGCCCGUGGAUGCUUCCAAAUACUUCACUAGCACAGCCACCCAGGAGUCCAAGGCACCCAAGCGGUAUUAUGCCUAUAGCAUGCUGAACGUCAACGCAGAAGAGUGGAAUUCUGGAACUACUUACACUUGCAUGGUGGGGCAUGAGAUGUUGCCCCUCCAGACGUCUCAGAAGACCAUAGACAAGAAUACGGGUAAACCAACCGUUGUCAACGUCUCCCUCGUGCUCUCCGACACCGCCAGCACUUGCCAGUAA